AGCAAUUAAAAGUAAUUUUAAGUACAGUAACAAUAUAUUUUGAUAAUUCUUUUUUUUAGUUAUAGCUACUAAAAUAGCAGUUUCAAAAAAGUAGCUGUAGUUUCAAAAAAGUAGCAAUGUCAGCAUCUUUUUAAACUAUUUCUUAAAUUGUUUUUUCUGUUCGGUUUUUAACAACGCUAAAAUAUUACUUAAAAUGCAUAAAUUUUCUCUAAAAGUUUCAGAGGAAAAUUAUGCAUUUUAAGUCGUAGCUACUUUUUAAAUAACUAAAUAAAAUUAUUAUUUUUUGUUUAUAUUAAGACCUAACAUCUAUUUGUUUAUGAUAGAUGUUAUAUUGAUCGAAUAGCAAUGUUAUAAUAUUUAUACUUUUAGUGCAGUCAGUGCCAAUUAAAAAUUGUGAGGUUAAAAUACUUAUAUAAUGGAUCUUCAGUUUUAGUGAAGGCUUUUAAUGUAAACUAAAAAAUAUUUUUAAAAAAUUUAAGUAUUAUUCAUACUCCUAUUUGAUAACCAUUAAAGAGAAAAUAAAUUUACUUAUGUCUGAUAUGAUUAUUAAAUUGUAUCAUUUAUUUUCUCUUUAGUAGAAAAGUUAACAUGGUUUGAACAAUAAUAUAUAUAGCUAUAUUACAUAAUUUUUUUAAAUCCGCAUAAAUAUAUUUUUUAUUGUUAAGUUUUGUGUGUUUAAUUUUAUUUAAUAUUUUAUAUACAGUCCAGUCAGUUGCAACAACAAUUAAAGCAGCAGGAAACAGCCAAGUACACAUACAAAUGAAAUCACAAGAUAAAGUGCUAACUCUGUACUUUUAGAUAUGAUUCUAAUAGUUAAACGUCUGUCAGAUAUUUACCUUUUAAAUCAUAAUCUAAUUGCUCAAGCUUCUGAAAAGCUAUUUGUAAAAAUUCAACGCUUAAAAAUUAAUGUAAGAUUAAAGGUAAUUCCUGUUAUAUUUAAAAGGUACGUUGAUGAUUGGUUCCAGUCUUUAAAGUUUUUAAGUUAAAAGAGAGUUUAAAUUGUUUAGUUUUUAUCUUAUGCUCUAUAUCUAAAAGCUAUUGAAAUAUUUAUAGCAUUAUUUUUUAUUUAUUUUAUUAUGUUAUGAAAGACCUACCAAGCUUGAAAUUUUAACGGGUUGAAAUAUAUAGUAUGUAUAAGUAUAUCAUCCCUCGGAAUUAGGAAAACUAAAGUCU